AGGGUUAUGGCUCAGUGGUAGAGUGCUUGCCUAGCAUGCAUGAGGCACUGGGUUUGAUCUCUGGCACUG
rnacentral:tRNA from 1 species